rnacentral:rRNA from 1 species
GUCCUAGCAGUAAACGGUGCACGCUUGGUGUGGGUAAUUGACGUUACCCGUGCCGUAGCUAACGCGAUAAGCGUGCCGCCUGGGAAGUACGGUCGCAAGACUAAAACUCAAAGAAAUUGACGGGGACCCGCACAAGCGGUGGAGUAUGUGGCUUAAUUCGAUGCAACGCGAUGAACCUUACCUGAAUUUGACAUGUGAUGUUUAAUGACGCGAAAGCGUUAUGGCGUAGUAAUACGCGAGUCACACAGGUGCUGCAUGGCUGUCGU